GUCAGGGGGAAGACAGAGGGAGAUUUUUUAACACGGAACCACAAGGAAGGAGAGGCCCCCGGAGAGGACGGACGUCAGAGGCCAGAGGGCGGCUUCCUGGGGUGCUGUGAGAGACUUGUCACCUGCUGGGUGGGGCAGUCUCUGCUGGUGUCUCACGAGGUCUCGGGCUUGGCACCUGAGGCAUGCAAAGUCACGUUUGCCAUGGCGGGCACAAUAAUAGUGGCAAGAAUAAUAAUAUCGAUAACGCAUCCUGACCAUGUGUCUCUGUAGCCCUGUCACCUCCUCACCACCGUCCCAUAAGACGGGACCCUGCGAGGCAGACGCAGCCUGCACACAGAGGAGGGAGGGGAGGCUGCUGGGGCUCCGGCCUGUGCUUUCGCCUCCAGACCAUGGAGCUUCUUCACCCACAUGCUGGGUGCCGUCCAGCCUGAGGCCUGUGUGCAGGGUCCCGGUUUCAAGCCCCGAUUCCCACCUGCUAACUGUGACCCAGGAAGCCCCACCCCCCGCAGCCCUCAGUUUCUUCACCUGCCAAACUCCCUGCCUUCGAGGAACCCUCUCAUGGGACAGCUGGACACAGCCAGGCGGGAAGGACUCUUCACCAGCCCCGUCUCCAUAGUCCCGGCUGCCAUCACUGCUGGCAUCGACACUGACCCUCCAGCUCCAGCACCAGGUCACCACCCUGCCCCUCAUCCAUCCUCCUCCUCCACGCGUGAUGAAUGAGCUUUUCUCAUUCAAUCAUUCUCAGGGGCAGCAUAGCGUGGCCAGUAGGAAGGAGGAUGCGGGAGCCAGCCUGCCUGGCUCCACCACCCACCAGCUGCUUUUAUUCCCUGCCUGCUCUAGUUCCCUGGCUGUAAAAUGGGGAUACAAAUAAUAUCUUCCUCAUCAGGUCACUGGGAGGCUUAAAUAAGCCCAUACUGUAAAGUGCUUAGAACAGGGCCUGCCACGUAGUAAGUACUCCAUAAUUGCUAUCAUUCAUCCAUUCAUUCAUUCAUUCAUUCAUUCGUGAAUUCUAUCCUGCCUGUUUCUGAAAGAGUUGAGAUGACUCACAGUGGAAAUGCAAUGAUAACAGGCCUUUAAAUUCAGAUUAAAAGAACACAAGCCUAGGCUGCAGAGGAGAGAGUGUCCCAGAAUCUGAGCCAAGCAAGCCUCACCUGAAUACAACCUCCCGGCGUCUCAUCCAAAACAUAAAGGUUGCUGGUAUCAAUUCUCCUUUUCUGAUGAAAGGAAGCAUAACAGCUUUCCAGCGGAAUAGAAGAUUUUUUUUUGGUUCAAACUUUAUGAAUGACAUUAAACAAUGCAAUGAGUAGCCUCCCCCUCACCUCACCCUGUCCGCCUUUUUAAUCAACUCCUGAGAAAUGGGGUCUGCUCUUCUUCCCAUCCCACUCCCCAUCUCCAGACCCUGCGGAAGCCUGUGGUCCUGGAGAGCCUGAGAGCCCUCAGAGCGAUACCUUCAGCUAUCCCAGGAGAAGGACACUCUUCGCUUUCAGCACCAGGGGAAAACUAGGAAAAAGCCAAGCCACUGAGUCAAUGAGGGCCUUCCCUCAGCUGCAGACAGCAAGCCCCUUCCAGGCGCUUCCCCGCAGCUACGGCAGCAAGUGCCCCAGGGGCAGGGCCGGGAAUGCUCACUGAGAAAUCCCAGAGCUGCCUGCACUUCCUCUCACCGGCUUCCCCUUCUCUCAGCAGCCACAGGCACGGGAAAGCUGCUGAUUCCCGGAGGACCACUUACACCAAGCACUGUGAGCUGAUCGAUGGCAGAGUCUCUCCAGCUCAUGAGUCUUCAGUGACUCCCCAUUGUCCAUGGAAAACAGAAGACACCUGAGGCCUUGCACAGUGGACCUUAUUCUCAUCCCUCCCUCAGGAGAAUCCUCUGCCUCGAGCCGAAGGCCGUGGGCUCUGCAGACUCCAGGCCUCUCCUUCCCAGGGCGGUCUUCCCUUUCCCUAUGCUCAAGGCACAGCCCAAGUCCCACCUCCUCCAUUGCAAGGGACACCACCCUCUGAAUUCCUGUUGGGGAAAGAGCCUAGUUUUGCAGCCAGAUAGGCCCGAGUUAGAGUCUCAGCUCAGUUCCAAUCCCAUUAGCUGGUUGCAAGUCAUUAACUUUGUCAACCUUCAGUAAAUGGAAAUCAGGCCCACACUGUAGGUGCCUGGGGGUGCUGAUGGUUGAGUGGAAUCUGUUCUUUUGACCUUCCCAGCAUCUUUCCCCUUCCCAGCAUCCUUUCCCCUUUCUUUUGGUGAUGUCGCCUGGAUUUUCUGUUGGGUAUGUGGUCCAGGGGUGGCUGACCUCACUUCCUGGUUCCAGCAUAAGAUCAUGACUGAGAGCUGGCCAAUGAGAAUAUUCCCUCGCCCCAGCCACAGAGUCAGAUUCCCGGGGAUGAACUUGUGAGUCAAAACAGGCUGGUGGGAACACACUUGGGGUGUUAGCUGGAGUUAUUGAAGCUUUCUUUCCCACUGGAGUCACUAGGUAGAUAGAAGGAAAGCUGAAGCCUUUAGCCACUGCUGUGGGUUGAAGUGUGUACCCCAAAAAGAUAUGUUCAAAUUCUAAUCCCCUGCACCUUUGGAGGUGGCCUUGUUUGGAAAAAGGGUCUUUGCAGAUGUAGGCAAGUGAAGAUGAAGCCAUCCUGGAUCAGGGUGGCUUGUGGCUUGUGUCCAAUGCCUUGUGUCCUUCUAAGAAGAGAGAAAUCGAGACACAGACACACACAGGGAAAAGGCCGAGUGAUGACAGCAGCAGAGAUGGGAGCGCGGCAGCUACAAGCUGAGGGAUGCCAAGCAUGGCUGGCACCACCCAGGAGCCUGGAGAGAGGGAGGGGACAGCCUCCUCCUUAGAGCCUCGAAACACCCUACCCACAUCCUGGCUUCAGACUUCCAGCCUGCACAACUGGGAGAGAAUCACUUUCUGCUGUGUUAAGCUACACUAGUUCAUGGUGAUUUGUUACAGCAGCUGCAGGAAAUGAACACAGACACCAAAUGGAGAUACUGUGUCUGAGAUUGAAGCCAGCACCGUGGAAUCAGAGCUGCCAGGAGGGAGACGUGGACUCUCGACCCUGUGGCCACACUUGGUUCCCCCAGCAGCUGAAGCACGAAGUCUACUGGACUUACUAGACUUUCCAGUUACCUGGACCAAUAUAUUCUCUGUUUUACUUAAGCUGUUUCGAUUGGAUUUCUGGCUAUUUCAACUGAGAGAGGCCUAACUCUCAGUUAUACAGAGACAAUGGAUGUAAAAUGCAUUGAAGGCCAGGCACAGUGGCUCGCGCCUGUAAUCCCAACACUUUGGAAAGCCAAGGCAGGAGGAUGGCUUGAGCCCAGGAGUACGAGACCAGCCUGGGAGACGUGGCAAAACGAAACCCCGUUUCUACAAAAAAAUACAUUAAACCAUUUUAAAAAGAAAAUAUAAAAUGUAUUGCAUGCUGCCUGGCCAAUGGGAGACAGUGGAGUGAAUGUAGGAAGUAGUUAGUAGAGUAAAUGGUAUUUAUU
rnacentral:lncRNA from 10 species